rnacentral:rRNA from 1 species
UGUUAAGCUGGAGGAAGGUGGGGAUGACGUCAAGUCCUCAUGGCCCUUACACCUAGGGCUACACACGUAAUACAAUGGAUAGGACAAAGGGCAGCGAACCAGCGAUGGGGAGCUAAUCUCAAAAACCUAUCCUCAGUUCGGAUUGGAGGCUGCAAUUCGCCUCCAUGAAGGCGGAAUCGCUAGUAAUCGUGGAUCAGAACGCCACGGUGAAUACGUUCCCGGGCCUUGUACACACCGCCCGUCACACCAUGGGAGUUGACUCAACCAGAAGUCGCUUCGCCAA